rnacentral:rRNA from 1 species
UACGAAGGGUGCAAACGUUGCUCGGAAUCAUUGGGCGUAAAGCGCACGUAGGCGGCCUCAAAAGUCGGAUGUGAAAUCCCGUGGCUCAACCAUGGACGUGCAUUCGAAACUGCGAGGCUUGAGUAUGGAAGAGGGUCGCGGAAUUCCCGGUGUAGAGGUGAAAUUCGUAGAUAUUGGGAAGAACACCGGUGGCGAAGGCGGCGACCUGGUCCGAUACUGACGCUGAGGCGCGAAAGCGUGGGGAGCAAACAGG